AAGGAGCCUGUGUUUCAUCAGGUCAUGUAUGCCGUACUAGUGGCUUUCUUGGUGAUUCGCUCUGUUUUCAUAGUCACUUGGGUGUAUCCAUGGCUCAGAGCCCUCGGCUUUACAUCAUUAAGCA